rnacentral:rRNA from 1 species
GAUGAACGCUAGCGGCAGGCUUAAUACAUGCAAGUCGUGGGGCAGCAGGACUGUAGCAAUACAUUUGCUGGCGACCGGCAAACGGGUGCGGAACACGUACGCAACUUACCCUUAACUGGGGGAUAGCCCGGGGAAACCCGGAUUCAUACCCCGUAAUAUAAUUGAGUGGCAUCACUUUAUUAUUUAAGCUCCGGCGGUUCGGGAUGGGCGGGCGGCUGAUAGGUAGUUGGUUGAGGUAACGGCUCACCAAGCCUACGAUCAGUAACUGAUGUGAGAGCACGACCAGUCAGAGGGGGACUGGGCAACGGGCGCGACUGCUACGGGAGGCAGCAGUAAGGAAUAUUGGGCAAUGGAGGCAACUAUGACCCAGCCAUGCCGCGUGGAGGAUGAAGGCCCUCUGGGUUGUAAACUUCUUUUAUAGGGGACGAAACCUGUGUAUUCUUACGCAGUUGACGGUACCGUAGGAAUAAGCACCGGCUAACUCCGUG